AGUGAACGCUGGCGGUAGGCCUAACACAUGCAAGUCGAACGGCAGCACAGGAGAGCUUGCUCUCUGGGUGGCGAGUGGCGGGCGGGUGAGGAAUACAUCGGAAUCUACUCUGUCGUGGGGGAUAACGUAGGGAAACCUACGCUAAUACCGCACACGACCUACGGGUGAAAGCAGGGGAUCUUCGGACCUUGCGCGAUUGAAUGAGCCGAUGUCGGAUUAGCUAGUUGGCGGGGUAAAGGCCCACCAAGGCGACGAUCCGUAGCUGGUCUGAGAGGAUGAUCAGCCACACUGGAACUGAGACACGGUCCAGACUCCUACGGGAGGCAGCAGUGGGGAAUAUUGGACAAUGGGCGCAAGCCUGAUCCAGCCAUACCGCGUGGGUGAAGAAGGCCUUCGGGUUGUAAAGCCCUUUUGUUGGGAAAGAAAUCCAGCUGGCUAAUACCCGGUUGGGAUGACGGUACCCAAAGAAUAAGCACCGGCUAACUUCGUGCCAGCCGCCGCAGUAA
rnacentral:rRNA from 1 species